GUCUGAUUGCUUGCUGAUAAUCAUCAAUACUGAUAGUUGUUAUUAAUCUCAUUCUUUUUGUCUAUGCAAUGAAAGGUGGUUAGAUGAAUAUCAAGAUGAUGGGAAAACUGUGACGGAGUUAACUGUUGAAAGUGAGUAUUUUGUUACAGAUUAUCUUUUUUGUUAUAACAAUAGAGUGUUAUUUACUUCCUAGUUAUUACUAAAGAUCCUUUUUGAAUAUAAUCAUAACAUAUGAAGAAAAGUGAUAAUUAAGCUUGCUCACAUGGAUUUUUUCUGCUAAUAUUUUAGAAGCUGUCAAUCCAGAGAAGGCAUUCCUUAAUGCACAACAGUGGAGAGUGCAGGUGAAAACAGAUGGAGAUUCCCCAGAGCCACAUGAUUGCAAAAGGACCCUUGUGAUUUAUGGCUCAAAGGGCAAAAGCGAUGAGCUACUGCUUUCACCACAAGACCCAGGACAUGUAUGUUUUCUACCCAGAGCAACAGAUGAAUUCAUUGUAAGUCAUAAUAUAUUUACACACAGUACAACUUUCUGUGUUACUACAGUACUAUAUUUAUAAUGACAUUUCUCUCCAGCACAAAGAUAUAUAUUUAUGGAAUGCUAGCUUGGUUGCUACAUAUAACAUAUUUAUUGCUAAAGAUGGAAUUAUGUGACUUUACAUCUUUGGUCAUCUUCUGCUUCUGGACCUGUUUGACAACAGGCAGGUGAAGUAUUCUCUUUGAAUUUUCAGUAUUUAUCAGGGAGAUAAAUGGUCCCUUUCAUGUAAUUUAUAGCAUUCACCAGCUCAUCUUCUGUGUUGCUUUGUUUUUAAUUCUCUAAAGAAUCCUGAGUUCCAGUUUAUACAAAACCAAUAUGCAAUUAUUUGAGAAAGAAGGAUUAUAUGUUAUUCCCAGAGGACAUCUGUGGCUUUUUCUUUCCUUCAUUUCAGUCUUCAUAAAACAGUCUCCACUUUCCUCCCAAAUGCCUCUCUUUCAGGCCACCAGGCAGUGAGUUUUCCUGGAUAAUCAUAGCAUACCAAAGCGUAAUGAGCCCUCAGGCAACAGCAUAUACUUGUUCACUAUUAAAAUCAACCUCAGCACAGUCCUGACUACCUGUAUACCUCACAUACAUCCUGCUGCUUUGAGAGCAUUCAGCUGAGGCAUCUUUUUAGUGUUCAAAUUAUGUCCUGGCUUGCUAGGGUAUAUCAUUGCAAAUUCUGUUCAUUGGCCUGAAGUACAGCUUCUAGUUAGCCAGAUGAGAGAACUAGCUUGCAAUUCGUGGUAGUUUUAUAAAGCUCAGAAAUGCUUUUCAGUGGCUGCAAUAAAUAUUCUGAAAAUAAUGACAAAGAUACAUUUAGAAAAUGUUGUGAAGGCUUCCUUAAAAUGAGCAGAUCCAAGCUGAUUUUUUUGAAUUUAAAUAACAAGAUAAAGCAAUUU
rnacentral:lncRNA from 1 species